UAAGUAGAUAGUGAAAUCUGGUGGCUCAACCAUUCAGACUAUUAUCUAAACUGCUCCGCUCGAGAAUGUUAGGGGUAGCUGGAAUUUCUAGUGUAGGAGUGAAAUCCGUAGAUAUUAGAAAGAACACCGAUAGCGUAGGCAGGCUACUGGGACAUUUCUGACACUAAGGCACGAAAGCGUAGGGAGCAAACGGGAUUAGAUACCCCGGUAGUCUACGCUGUAAACGAUGGAUACUA
rnacentral:rRNA from 1 species